rnacentral:rRNA from 1 species
UACGUAGGUGGCAAGCGUUGUCCGGAAUUAUUGGGCGUAAAGCGCGCGCAGGCGGUCCUUUAAGUCUGAUGUGAAAGCCCACGGCUCAACCGUGGAGGGUCAUUGGAAACUGGGGGGACUUGAGUACAGAAGAGAAGAGUGGAAUUCCACGUGUAGCGGUGAAAUGCGUAGAGAUGUGGAGGAACACCAGUGGCGAAGGCGACUCUUUGGUCUGUAACUGACGCUGGAGGCGCGAAACG